CGAUUGUAGUCAUAUGCUUGUCUCAAAGAUUAAGCCAUGCAUGUCUAAGUAUAAGUGUUUAUAUAGCGAAACUGCGAAUGGCUCAUUAAAUCAGUUAUAGUUUAUUUGAUUGUACCUUUUGAAUACUUGGAUAACCGUAGUAAUUCUAGAGCUAAUACAUGCUAAAAGCCUCAACUUUACGGAAGAGGUGCAUUUAUUAGAUACAAAAACCGAUGUAUUGUUUUCCUUCGGGGGAGCAAUGCCUUGUGAUGACUCAUGAUAACUUUGCGAAUCGCAUAGCUUCGUGCUGGCGAUAAAUCAUUCAAAUUUCUGACCUAUCAACUUUCGAUGGUAGUGUAGUGGACUACCAUGGUUAUAACGGGUAACGGAGGAUUAGGGUUCGAUUCCGGAGAGGGUGCCUGAGAAGUGGCAACCACUUCCAAGGAAGGCAGCAGGCGCGCAAAUUACCCAAUCGCAAUACGCGGAGGUAGUGACAAUAAAUAACAAUACAGGUCCCGACAAGGGACUUGUAAUUGGAAUGAGUACAAUUUAAACCCCUUAACAAGGAACAAUUGGAGGACAAGUCUGGA
rnacentral:rRNA from 1 species